rnacentral:rRNA from 1 species
AUUGAACGCUGGCGGCAUGCUUUACACAUGCAAGUCGGACGAGUGGCGAACGGGUGAGUAACGCAUAGGAACGUACCGAGUAAUGGGGAAUAACUGUCCGAAAGGACAGCUAAUACCGCAUAAUAUUCGAGCGGCCGAUGUCUGAUUAGCUGGUUGGCGGGGUAAAGGCCCACCAAGGCGACGAUCAGUAGCGGGUCGGAGAGGAGGAACGGCAACAUUGGGACUGAGACACGGCCCAGACUCCUACGGGAGGCAGCAGUGGGGAAUUUUGGACAAUGGGCGCAAGCCUGAUCCAGCCAUGCCGCGUGUCUGAAGAAGGCCUUCGGGUUGUAAAGGACUUUUGUCAGGGAGGCGGUACCUGAAGAAUAAGCACCGGCUAACUACGUGCCAGCCGCCGCGGUAAUAC